ensembl:snoRNA
AUACUUUCGUGGUUCCUAACUGUGACGAUUGGGUCUUCAUGAUAAUGUAUAAGGCCUGCCUCCCUCUAACCUUUGUUAUGACACCAGUACAUUUCCCAUCCAAUG